UCCAGGGUAGCCUAGUGGACAUGGCAUCUGCCCGGUAAGUGGAACAUUGUGGGUUCGUUUCCCAUCCCUGGAC
rnacentral:tRNA from 1 species